rnacentral:rRNA from 1 species
GACGAACGCUGGCGGCGUGCCUAAUACAUGCAAGUCGAACGCAGUGGGGACGGGUGAGUAACAAGUGGGUAACCUACCAUCAGAGGAGAUAACACUUGGAAACUAGUGCUAACGCGCUACUGAUGGAUGGACCCGCGGGGCAUUAGCGAGUUGGUGAGGUAACGGCUCACCAAGGCGACGAGGCAUAGCCGACCUGGGAGGGUGAGCGGCCACACUGGGACUGAGACACGGCCCAGACUCCUACGGGAGGCAGCAGUAGGGAAUCUUCGGCAAUGGACGAAAGUCUGACCGAGCAACGCCGCGUGAGUGAAGAAGGUUUUCGGAUCGUAAAACUCUGUUGUUAGAGAAGCGGUAUCUAACCAGAAAGCCACGGCUAACUACGUGCCAGCAGCCGCGGUAAUAC